GAGAGAGACAGGAGCCAGGAGACCAGAGACUUCCUCCAAAGGCAGCUGAGUCUGGAGGGUACAUUGCCUGGACAGCCAACAUGAGUUAUCCCCUGAAGCCCAGGGCACUGCCCAGAAAAGAGCGGGGAACCCACAAGAAAUUGUAGCAAUAACACUCUGAAAAUAUUUAGCAGCACAAUCAAAGGAGGAGCAGGAGAGACAUGGUUUGGAGGCCACAUUGAGGAUGAGGAAAGACAUCUUUUGCAUCUAUAGCUCCUAAAGUACAAGAAGUGCGAA
rnacentral:lncRNA from 10 species